rnacentral:rRNA from 1 species
CGGCGGACGGGUGAGUAACACGUGGGUAACCUACCUAUAAGACUGGGACAACUUCGGGAAACCGGAGCUAAUACCGGAUAAGAUAUCGAACCGCAUGGUUCGAUAGUGAAAGAUGGUUUUGCUAUCACUUAUAGAUGGACCCGCGCCGUAUUAGCUAGUUGGUGAGGUAACGGCUCACCAGGGCAACGAUACGUAGCCGACCUGAGAGGGUGAUCGGCCACACUGGAACUGAGACACGGUCCAGACUCCUACGGGAGGCAGCAGAC